AGUCUUAUAUUCAAUAAUGAUAUUAAAUUGCAAGUUUAAAGGGAAAGUUUAUUUAACUUUUAAGGCUU
rnacentral:tRNA from 1 species